AUUUCACAAUCCUCUUCAUCUUUUCAAAUCCAUUCAUUUAUGGCUCCUCUUCCCUACCUACACCCUAUCACACAGCACCCACCCACAAAAACUGCUACUUUUUCUGAUGUUAAGUUAGAAACUUCAGGUUCUAAACAUUUGCUUCCUAAAAGACUAACUUUAUCCAUAUGAGCCUGACUCUUAAAAUAAUCUUUAA